AACCAAUCGACUUUUUAUUAAGUCGUAAUAAAUUGAUGAAUUCUGAGUAACUACUUUAUUAGCGAACCGCAUGAUCUCGUAUCGGCGGUCUGUCGGUCAAGCAACUGCCUUAUCAGCUUGUCAUUAGGUUAUAUGCCUAACAAGGCGUCAACGGGUAACGAACGAUUGGGGUCUGACAUCGGAGAGGGAGCCUGAGAAACGGCUACCACGUCUAAGGAAGGCAGCAGGCGCGUAAAUUACCCAAUCCUGACUCAGGGAGGUAGUGACAAGAAAUAACGGACCGAGGCCCUCGGGCCUCGGGAUUGCAAUGAGCCGAAUUUACACCCCUUAGCGAGGAUCGAUUGGGGGGCAAGUCUGGUGCCAGCAGCCGCGGUAAUUCCAGCUCCAAUAGCGUAUAUUAAAGUUGUUGCAGUUAAAAAGCUCGUAGUUGGAUUUCUGGGAGGGUGCCAAUGUCCGCCGACGUGCGUGUGCAGCGGCGCCCUUCCAUCCUUCUGUUAACGCCUCUUGGCAUUCAUUUGCUGGUGGCGGGCUCAGAUAUUUUACCUUGAGAAAAUUAGAGUGUUUCAGGCAGGCUAG
rnacentral:rRNA from 1 species